UACGGGGGGGGCAAGCGUUGUUCGGAAUUACUGGGCGUAAAGGGCGCGUAGGCGGUCAGACCAAGUCGAGUGUGAAAUUCCAGGGCUUAACUCUGGCGCGCUCGCUCGAUACUGGUCGGCUAGAGUGUGGAAGAGGAUGCUGGAAUUCCCGGUGUAGCGGUGAAAUGCGUAGAUAUCAGGAAGAACACCAACGGCGAAGGCAGCUCGCUGGGACGGAACUGACGCUGAGGCGCGAAAGCGUGGGGAGCGAACAGG
rnacentral:rRNA from 1 species